AUAUUCAUGAUUCACUUAUCCGGCUACUGAUUAAUGAGUAGAUACAAUAACUCAAGAUAAAUAAGAUUCCCUCCACCGGUUAUUAUCUAUAGAGAUGUAAUUUAUUACAACAAACGGUACAAAGAAAAUAUUACAGAAAAAAGAACACCAAAAACAAAACAGCAAAAAAACAAUUAUAAUAUAAUUGCUUAAAAAAACGAUGAUAGUAAAAAAAUAAGAGCAACUCAUAAACAUGCCCAAUAAAUAUAUUGGCAAAUAUAUGAAACAAACGAAUGGUUAAAAGUAAAAACGUACUGAGAACAAAAGCAGCAGUGGUAACUACAAUACGGCAGAUUUGCAAAAGGCACCGUCAAUAUCAAAUGACACCGGUGCACAAAAAACUCUUCGAUUAAGCCGGGCAACACUAAUGCUGUGCAGGGCCUUCUGGACGACGUCGACAGCAACAGAAACAUCAAUAUGAGGUCUACAUCGCGUCCUUUAACGACUCAUGGAGGAUUCCUUUCAAGUAGAAUUUAAGUUUUGGGAACCAGUAGAAGUCACACGGGGGUACCAAAUAUGCCGAAUAGGGCGAUCUCACGCUAUGAGAAUAGUCUCCGAAAUAGCCUGCUUCGAUCAACCCCCACUUAAUGUCCAAGACCAAGAUCCUGGUCGGUGCUCGAUGGGUCUGCAUAGUAGCCAUACAGAUUUAAACAAAUCAACGAAGUAUCGGUAGCCAGUGUUCCACACUAGCACUAUAAAAUACAAUCGCCCUAGUAGCAGCACAAUGAGCCGAUGCAAAUAAGACGGCUAACUUAAGGAGUACUAAGCGUAUGAUACCCUACGUCGUCCUGGAUGGACAAAUGAAGAGGCAGUCUUUUUGACACACACGAAAUAAACGCAGUAUCGACAUCGCGAUGGACCACAACGUUCUAAUCGGUGAAACCUGGCUGCGUUUUGCAAGGAUUCAACAACCGAAGGAGAGGCUUGGAAAGCAAUACAAGAUAAGCAAGCUGGAGGUUCCUGAACGGUUUUUUGUUGAAGAACUCAACGGUGAUAACGGUGGACUGUCAUUAAUUAAGCCUUGCUUGCCUGAAUGAUCUGUGUACCAGGAGGAUGUAGUGGAUCAUACAUGAUACCUGGAGGGUGAUAGAGGGGCGGUACGAUGUUACGAGCCGUGCAAGCACGAGCAACAAGGGCCAAUAUCCAAGCCCGUCAAAAGUAUGUGGACGAGACAAGCGAGCGUGGAUGCACUCUCGAGCAGAUGAAGGGGAGAAACAGGACAGAAAUGGCGAUAUCUGUCUCCUACUAUAUGUCAAAACGCUUCAGCAAACAAAUACGAUGAUGCCUGUGAUUGAAUCAAGAACUAAAAGCGUAAAGUAAGAAUAAGAACAGCAGCAAUAGUACUACAAUAUGGCAGUUAAAGAAAAGCCAAAGGUCAAUAUCAAAUGACUGCGGUAUGCAAAAACACACUUCAAUGAAAAAGGGCAAGAGUUAAUACUCUGCCGGGACUUCUGCACUAUGUCGACAACAAAAGAACAUCAAUGAUCAAAACUCGUAGCUGAUGUAAUAAUAUAGAUCACGGGAGUAAAAAAACAACUGCAUUCAUCUUCCUUAAGCUUGAAGAUCGCGAUUCUAUUCGGCAGGCGAUGGCGACCCCAGAAGGAGUCCGUUUCUACACGACACAGCGAUUACUGCCAGCUAUUAGCACUCCUGCAUCGUGUCUCCACCUCAGACAUGCCGAGCUCAAACAAGCCACGAAAUGCCGGUUGCCUAGGACCAACAUUAGCAGAAUAAAAAAGCAAUUGUCUCGGUACCAUCACAAAUAGCCGGAAAAAUCCACACGGGUUAUUUUGUACGUUAACAUUCGAUAGGGUAGGAUAGGUUCGAUAAGAUACUUCAAAAGUUUCUAUUAUAUAAUAUAAUUAGAUAGAUACAUAUAAACCAUUCUCAGACUGAAAAACAGAGUUGCAUGCCUAUGGCAAGAUAUAAAACACCGGAAAAUAAGAAUCAAUUUGAUUGGAUAUAAAAUCUGAAAUAGCUUAAAGCGAUAGAAUAUCAUGUUGCCUACAGAAACUAACGAUAAUUUUAAGAAACAACCAACAUUAUUAGAGUGAUCACCAAACGUUUGUUUUUUCUAGGUUUAGUUGCAAAGCUUUCUUACAUUUUAAAAGUUAACAAUAAUGUGUA